rnacentral:tRNA from 1 species
GUUUUAAUAAUUUAAUUUAAAAUAUUGAUUUUGUAAAUCAAAAAUAAGAAAUCUUUUAAAACU